GAACCCUAGCCCUUUCCCUCGUUUGUUGCUCAAUCAACCCCCAAGUGCUCCUCUUAGCACUAAUGCGCCACCACGGAAGGCAAUUAGUACCCGGACUCAACAGAGGGGCUUUCGGCCUUAAAGACCCCGUUUGGACUUCGAUUUUGACGAAGCGAAAGGGAAACGAUGGCCGGCUCGUCAGGUAGACUCUUUUUUGUUUUCUUUUUUGUUACUGAUUUCAAAAUGAAAAAGGAAAAUGGAGGUGUAAAAAAAGGGAACCACCUUUGAAGAAUGUUCAACUUUUCUGUAAUCGAUUGCUAUUCUGCGUAUACUGCCCCCCUUUUUUUGUGUUUUUUUUGGUAACCGGUUACAAGGAUUAAAGUUUCGGCUUUAUAGCCGAAGAAAAAAGGAAAUUCCAAAUAAAAAAUACAAUAUUUCUCUUUUUGUUUGCAUUCGCUGCUGUUCUGCCUCGUUUGUUUGCAGGUACGGAGGUACAGAGCCAGCUGUGGGGAUAUGUGGCACUCAACGUGGGGCGUACGGAGGCGUUGAAGGCGGUCGUACGGCGCGAGGGCUGGGGCUCGUCUGCGAUUGCGGCGCAAAUGUGAGGAAGAAACCCUAGGGUUUCUUUGUUUAGGCAUUUGGGCUUAUUGGGCCUAUUUUUGGGUCAGGUAUAGGUUUAGUCAUUGGGCUUGUAACUUGGGCCUUGGGUUUUAAUUUUAAGUCUAGAUUAUGUAAUUGGGUUUGGGCUAUGUAAUGAUUUGGUUUGUAAAAAGACAUUAAUUAAUGGACUGUUAUAAUUUUAUUUAUUUUAUGUUUAUGGCUUUUGGUUUAUUUUUUGGUUUGUUUUGUGUUUGCAUGGGCCGGACAAAUUUGGCCCACUACAGUACCCAAGUAAAUAGCUUUAAACGUAUUAUACAAAUUCAUCUACCGCACUAUUGUUCUUACUUUCUCAAAUAAUGGCUCCAAAGUUUUGAUAUAAAUCUCAAUAGAUUCAGAUUUAGCAAAGCAACUAAUAUAUUAUC
rnacentral:lncRNA from 1 species